CCAGUUCCUGAGUUUAUGCAAGAUGCCCAUGGGAGCCCAGAGACGUCCUAUGGCGAGACUGGCAUGUACUCACACAACUGA
ensembl:miRNA MIR8074 microRNA 8074